ACCUGGCUGGCUCGGUUGGUGGAGCGUAAGACUCUUGAUCUUGGGGCUGUGAGUUCGAGCCCCAUGUUGGGUG
rnacentral:tRNA from 1 species